GUGACGUUUCGGGUUGAGACCCUUCUUCAGACUGAACUGAACUCCGUAUUUAACACAAAAUCGUACAUCCAUAUUCUAAUCGCAUUUCCGUACAAAAUACGGAAAAUCCGUACUACUUGGCAGCUCUG